GGGAUACAGUUAAGAUGUGGUGGCAAGAGAACUGAAUGUCUCAGAAAAUGUUAUAAAAAUUAAAUUUCAACCAGGGAGCUGUUGUCAGAAAUUUGGUAUUUUAUUUUACCACCAAUCCUAAAAAAAUUGGUUUGCCACUUAUAUUUCCUAAAAAAAAAAAAAAAUAAAUAGAUAGAUAAGCAAACAGCAACAACAACCAACUGGAUACUUACAUUUUUAAUUACUUCCUUGUUUCAGUACCUCAAUCAUACCUCAGUACAUUUUAAGAGAUUGAAGUACUUAGAAGCUAUAAAACCAUUAUUAUUAUUAUUAUUAUUAUUUUAUUAUUAUUGCUCUUAUGAAUGCUAUGUCUGUCAUGAAAAAGCUAAGUUCAGUGUAUGUGCUAUUAGUUGGAGUUUUCUGUGAUUUUGCCACUGUAGCUCCCACAUGUGUGGAGUACUAGAUCUCAUGGCUUGGUUAUUUUAUACCUCAGGGUUCUUAACCAGGGCACAGGCAACAAGUUUCCAACCACCAGCUGUGAUGCAUUGGUUGUGAUGGUGCUAGAUGUGUAGCUCCUACACAGUCUGGUGGUCAUGGAUGUCAUGUGUUGUGGUUUCCUCCUUUGUCCACGCCAGGAAAGCCUGCUCUCCUGCCAUGUGACUCCUCUGUUAUGUAACUCUAAACCACAACUGUGAGGAUGAGCAAACACUGACAAGGCUCUAUGGUUUGCAGACAGAUUCAACUAUGUCCUUCAAGGGAGUCUUCAUUUAGUGGGAAAGCAGGUCUGAUUACCUUGGAAGGUUUGGGGCCUCCAUACUGAUCUCUUGGUACUGUCUCUCCCCAUCUCUAAAAGAAGUCCAUGAUGUCAGCUACAUUACAGACUUGUGUUUUUUUUGUUGUUUUUUUUUUGUUUGUUUGUUUUUUGUUCAGACCCCAGAUUUCACAUUCAUUUUCUGGAUAUGUCAUUUCUAGCACCUGUGUGAGGGAGGGAAGUAUCCCUGCUUCUGCCGAGAAGGGGAGGGGAAGUGUGAAUGGAAAGAUGGCUUCCAGCAAAUGUUCCCAAGAAAAACAGGCUUUGCUUUCAAUACCACAGAUUUGCAGAAUUGAAUGA
rnacentral:lncRNA from 1 species